GAAACAGGUUUUAGUGAGAGUUCACUGCUGCAGCCCCCCUACUGUAUAGACUGGGCUCCUGUACUUUAAACUAAUUUAAGAGUGCAGUUAUGGACACUGGGCUGAAGAUUUUACUUAUUAUGUGUGCCAGUUGCUUCGAAUGCAGAGCUGAAGACAAAGUUACCCAAUCCACACAAGAUGUGAUUGCUAUUGAAGGACAAUCAGUGACACUUGGCUGUACUUACAGCGCAAUGAGUACACAAAAGUAUCUCUUCUGGUACAUACAAUAUCCAAAUGGAUUUCCUAAGUACAUCCUGAGACGAGACACAGUUACAGCUGGGGAAACUGUGCCAGGGUUCGAGAGAUUUGAUGCUCACCUCAACAAAACCUCAAGCAGCGUACCUUUAACAAUACAGAAGGUUUUUCCUCUGGAGAUGAAGUCACACAGGAGCAGCCAUCUGUACAAAAGACAGAAAAAGAAGAAGUCUCCUUGAAAUGUUCCUUCAAGAGCACGAGCAGUGCUUAUUACAUCUACUGGUACCGCCAGUACCCGCAGUCAGCCCUGCAGUAUAUACUGCAAAGAGGAUCCCAAGGAUACAGCCACGCAGCAGAUUUUGCUAAAGAGAAAUUUGAGUCAACAGUUUCCAGCAGUGAAGCAUUUUUAACUAUUUCAAAAUUAACCCCAGAAGACACUGCUGUUUAUUACUGUGCUC